rnacentral:pre_miRNA from 2 species
UCUUAUGGACGAUCAAAGAAAGUGGUUUCUUGAGAUGGAAUCUACUCUUGGGUGAAGACACUAUGAA